UUCGUAAAGUGUUUAUUUAUUUGGUGUGUGACAUAUAGGAAGAGGAGUAUUGCAGAACCAAACAACAGCAAGUGUGAAUAACACAAGAAGACAAGUGAGGUUGUUUGGGGUUAACUUGGAAUGCGAGGCCGACGAGCCGUCGUGGUCGAAGCCACCAUCAACCCCAGAUGGCGGUGGGUCUUCCACGUCUAGCCACCAAGGUCAGGGUCAAGCCAGCCAACACUAUUACCAAUACCAAUUUCAGCACUCAAAGCCUCAUGUUGCUGCCUCUUCCUAUCACAUGGAUAUGAAUUUCUCAAGAGAUGUCAACCAGAUGAGAUAUCACCAGGGAUAAGAUCUGUGGAUUUGACAUCCAGGAUUGACUAUUACGGGCACUUGAAAAAUUAUAAAAAAAAAAA